AGGACGAACGCUGGCGGCGUGCUUAACACAUGCAAGUCGAGCGGUAAGGCCUUUCGGGGUACACGAGCGGCGAACGGGUGAGUAACACGUGGGUGAUCUGCCCUGCACUCUGGGAUAAGCCUGGGAAACUGGGUCUAAUACCGGAUAUGACCUGCUCUCGCAGUGGGGGUGGGUAGGAAAGUAUUU
rnacentral:rRNA from 1 species